GUUGAGGAAGAUAAUGACGGUACUCAACAAGGAAGUGACGGCUAACUACGUGCCAGCAGCCGCGGUAAAACGUAGGUCACAAGCGUUGUCCGGAAUUACUGGGUGUAAAGGGAGCGCAGGCGGGAAGACAAGUUGGAAGUGAAAUCUAUGGGCUUAACCCAUAAACUGCUUUCAAAACUGUUUUUCUUGAGUAGUGCAGAGGUAGGCGGAAUUCCCGGUGUAGCGGUGGAAUGCGUAGAUAUCGGGAGGAACACCAGUGGCGAAGGCGGCCUACUGGGCACCAACUGACGCUGAGGCUCGAAAGUGUGGGUAGCAAACAGGAUUAGAUACCCUGGUAGUCCACACUGUAAACGAUGAUUACUAGGUGUUGGAGGAUUGACCCCUUCAGUGCCGCAGUUAACACAAUAAGUAAUCCACCUGGGGAGUACGACCGCAAGGUUGAAACUCAAAGGAAUUGACGGGGGCCCGCACAAGCAGUGGAGUAUGUGGUUUAAUUCGACGCAACGCGAAGAACCUUACCAAGUCUUGACAUCCCUUGACGAACAUAGAAAUAUGUUUUCUCUUCGGAGCAAGGAGACAGGUGGUGCAUGGUUGUCGUCAGCUCGUGUCGUGAGAUGUUGGGUUAAGUCCCGCAACGAGCGCAACCCUUAUGGUCAGUUACUACGCAAGAGGACUCUGGCCGGACUGC
rnacentral:rRNA from 1 species